rnacentral:rRNA from 1 species
AACGAACGCUGGCGGCAGGCCUAACACAUGCAAGUCGAGCGAGGACUUCGGUUCUAGCGGCGGGCGGGUGAGUAACGCGUGGGAAUGUGCCCUUCUCUACGGAAUAGCCCUGGGAAACUGGGAGUAAUACCGUAUACGCCCUUUUGGGGAAAGAUUUAUCGGAGAAGGAUCAGCCCGCGUUGGAUUAGGUAGUUGGUGGGGUAAUGGCCUACCAAGCCGACGAUCCAUAGCUGGUUUGAGAGGAUGAUCAGCCACACUGGGACUGAGACACGGCCCAGACUCCUACGGGAGGCAGCAGUGGGGAAUCUUAGACAAUGGGGGCAACCCUGAUCUAGCCAUGCCGCGUGAGUGAUGAAGGCCUUAGGGUUGUAAAGCUCUUUCAGCUGGGAAGAUAAUGACGGUACCAGCAGAAGAAGCCCCGGCUAACUCCGUG